AACACUGUUAACCUGCGGUACCUGCGGAAGGAUCAUUACUGUGAUUUACUACUACACUGCGUGAGCGGAACGAAAACAACAACACCUAAAAUGUGGAAUAUAGCAUAUAGUCGACAAGAGAAAUCUACGAAAAAGCAAACAAAACUUUUAACAAUGGAUCU
rnacentral:misc_RNA from 1 species